rnacentral:rRNA from 1 species
AACUCCUUGAUCCUGCCAGAGGCCAUUGCUAUCAGGGUUUGACUAAGCCAUGCGAGUCGAGAGGUGUAUGACCUCGCCAUACUGCUCAGUGGCACGUGGUUUUCCUGCCCUAAGGUGGAGAAUACUCCCGGGAAACUGGGGCUAAUGCUCCAUAGUGGAUAUGUCCUGGAAUGGUAUAUCAUCGAAAGAUCCGUCGCCUUAGGAUGGNNCUGCGUCCGAUUAGGUUGUUGGCGGGGUAACGGCCCACCAAGCCNNNUAUCGGUACGGGUUGUGGGAGCAAGAUCCCGGAGAUGGAUUCUGAGACAUGAAUCCAGGCCCUACGGGGCGCAGCAGGCGCNCAAACUUUACAAUGCGAGCAAUCGUGAUAAGGAAACCCUGAGUGCCUGUCGAUGCAGGCNGUUCAUAUAUCUAAAUCAUAUGUGAAGAAAGGGCAGGGCAAGACCNGUGCCAGCCGCCGCGGUAAUACCGGCUGCUCGAGUGAUGGCNNCUAUUACUGGGUUUAAAGCGUCCGUAGCUUGACUGUUAGGUCUCUUGGGAAAUCUUCGCGCUCAACGUGAAGGCGUCUAAGAGAUACCGGCAGNCUUGGAACUGGGAGAGGUAAACCGUACUUCGGGGGUAGGAGUGAAAUCUUGUAAUCCUCGAGGGACGACCUAUGGCGAAGGCAGUUUACNAGNACAGCUUCGACAGUGAGGGACNNAAGCUGGGGGAGCAAACGGGAUUAGAUACCCCGGUAGUCCCAGCCGUAAACAAUGUGCGUUAGGUGUGUCGGUAACCACGUGUAACUGAUGCGCCGAAGAGAAAUCGUGAAACCCACCACCUGGGAAGUACGGCCGCAAGGCC